UAAGUCCCUGUUGGAUAAGGUCUAACCAACCACCCAUACCGAGUGUUGCACCAAAACUGGUAACAGUUAGGUGAAGCGUACACAGGGAACCAUAUAGACCACAGGGGAGACCAUAAUCCCUGAAGCAUAUUCAGCCUCGUAAAUCGUGUAUCUAGAAAUAGGACAAAAGCAGAAGUUAAGAACUUAGUAACUCGGGAAAAAUAAUAGGCAUGACCAUUAGAGGUUUGAUAUAA
rnacentral:misc_RNA from 1 species